CAGUCGCCGCGGUAAUACGAAGGGUGCAAGCGUUAAUCGGAAUUACUGGGCGUAAAGCGUGCGUAGGCGGUGAGUUAAGUCUGCUGUGAAAUCCCCGGGCUCAACCUGGGAAUGGCAGUGGAUACUGGCUCGCUAGAGUGUGUCAGAGGAUGGUGGAAUUCCCGGUGUAGCGGUGAAAUGCGUAGAGAUCGGGAGGAACAUCAGUGGCGAAGGCGGCCAUCUGGGACAACACUGACGCUGAGGCACGAAAGUGUGGGGAGCAAACAGGAUUAGAUACCCCCGUAGUCCUGUCUCUUAUACA
rnacentral:rRNA from 1 species